UUACAACUUUCAACAACGGAUCUCUUGGUUCUGGCAUCGAUGAAGAACGCAGCGAAAUGCGAUAAGUAGUGUGAAUUGCAGAAUUCAGUGAAUCAUCGAAUCUUUGAACGCACAUUGCGCCCCUUGGUAUUCCAUGGGGCAUGCCUGUUCGAGCGUC
rnacentral:rRNA from 2 species